rnacentral:rRNA from 1 species
CGCGAAUGGCUCAUUACAACAGCUAUAAUUUACUUGAUCUUGACAAAUCCUACUUGGAUAACUGUGGUAAUUCUAGAGCUAAUACAUGCAUUAAAGCUCUGAUCUUCGGGGAAGAGUGCAUUUAUUAGAACAAAACCAAGCGGCUUCGGCUGUUUUCGGUUGACUCAUAGUAACUGAGCUGAUCGCAUGGUCUUGCACCGGCGACGUGUCGUUCAAGUAUCUGCCGUAUCAACUUUCGAUGGUAGUGUAUCUGACUACCAUGGUGAUCACGCGUAACGGAGAAUAAGGGUUCGACUCCGGAGAGUUCGCCUGAGAAAUCGCGAACACAUCUAAGGAAGGCAGCAGGCGCGAAAAUUACCCACUCUCAGCACGAGGAGGUAGUGACGAAAAAUAACGAGACCGUUCUCUUAUGAGGCCGGUCAUCGGAAUGGGUACAAUUUAAACCCUUUAACGAGUAUCUAUGAGAGGGCAAGUCUGGUGCCAGCAGCCGCGGUAAUUCCAGCU